AGAAAAUGUUGAGGCAGGAUCUAUCUAGGUUGGCGGACUACACCUGGUUUUGUUAUUAUAGAGCUUUGUCUUCCACAAAUAUUUCUUCAGGUUCUUUAGCCCAAAGAGAUGGAUCACUCUCGUUUGUCGCAGGCAAAAGGAAUAUCUGACUCUCUGACUCCAUCACACUAGAGAUCUAUCAUCGGGAAAG